UGAGGAAUAUUGGUCAAUGGGCGGGAGCCUGAACCAGCCAAAGUCGCGUGAGGGAAGACGGUCCUAUGGAUUGUAAACCUCCUUUGUCGGGGGAGCAAAGAGGCCACGUGUGGUCAAAAGCGAGAGUACCCGAAGAAAAAGCAUCGGCUAACUCCGUGCC
rnacentral:rRNA from 1 species